UACGUAGGGGGCUAGCGUUAUCCGGAAUUACUGGGCGUAAAGGGCGCGUAGGCGGCUGUGUAAGUCAGUAGUGGAAGUCCAGCUUUUAAUGUUGGAAGUGCUAUUGAAACUGUGCAGCUUGAGUGCAGGAGAGGUUAUCGGAAUUCCCGGUGUAGCGGUGAAAUGCGUAGAGAUCGGGAGGAACACCAGUGGCGAAGGCGGCUUCCUGGUCUGUAACUGACACUGAGGCGCGAAAGCGUGGGGAGCAAACGGAUUAGAUACCCUGGUA
rnacentral:rRNA from 1 species